rnacentral:misc_RNA from 1 species
GAUGAAGAACGUAGCAAAAUGCGAUAAGUAAUGUGAAUUGCAGAAUUCAGUGAAUCAUCGAAUCUUUGAACGCACAUUGCGCCCGCUGGUAUUCCGGCGGGCAUGCCUGUUCGAGCGUCAUUUCAACCCUCAAGCCCCCGGGUUUGGUGUUGGGGAUCGGCUCUGCCCUUCUGGGCGGUGCCGCCCCCGAAAUACAUUGGCGGUCUCGCUGCAGCCUCCAUUGCGUAGUAGCUAACACCUCGCAACUGGAACGCGGCGCGGCCAUGCCGUAAAACCCCAACUUCUGAAUGUUGACCUCGGAUCAGGUAGGAAUACCCGCUGAACUUAAGCAUAUCAAUAAGUGGAGGA